CUAAAAACCUUGUAAAAAAAUGGCUACAUCAGGUCGAGGAUGUCAAAGUAUUCUAUGAAGGGUUUGUGAAAGAUGUUUUGAAAUUAAAAGAACAUCAUUAUGUCAAUGAAACUCAGAAAUAUUGCUUCGCAUUCAUGAAGAAUAAUUUGAAGAAUCAUUUUACAAAUAUUUGUCAUCAUGAAGAUGACUUUGGAAUCAAAGUAGAAUCCAAUAAUUUCUUUGCCCCUAGCCACGGUAAAGGACCUUGUGAUGGAAUCGGAGCUGUAGCGAAA